rnacentral:rRNA from 1 species
GACGUAGGGGGCCAGCGUUGUUCGGAAUUACUGGGUGUAAAGGGUUCGUAGGCGGUGCGGCAGGUUGGGAGUGAAAUCUCUGGGCUUAACCCAGAGGCUGCUUCCAAAACUGCUGUGCUUGAGUGUGGGAGAGGCGCGUGGAAUUGCAGGUGUAGCGGUGAAAUGCGUAGAUAUCUGCAGGAACACCUGUGGCGAAAGCGGCGCACUGGACCACAACUGACGCUGAGGCGCGAAAGCUAGGAGAGCAAACAGG